UGAGUGCUUGCAUUCCCGAGUAGAGUGGCGCACGGUUGAGUAACACGUGGAUAAUCUACCUUUGAAUCCGGGAUAACUGUUCGAAAGAAUCGCUAAUACCGAAUGAAGUCAAUGUUUCCUAGGAGAUAUUGAUGAAAGACAGCCUCUUCUUGAAAGCUGCUGUUUGAAGAUGAGUCCGCGCACCAUUAGCUUGUUGGUGGGGUAAAGGCCUACCAAGGCUCUGAUGGUUAGCUGGUCUGAGAGGAUGAUCAGCCACACUGGAACUGACACACGGUCCAGACUCCUACGGGAGGCAGCAGUGAGGAAUUUUGCGCAAUGGGGGCAACCCUGACGCAGCAACGCCGCGUGAGUGAAGAAGGCCCUUGGGUCGUAAAACUCUGUCAAUGGGGGAAGAAGUUAUUAUACUUUUAAUAGAGUAUAGUAUUGACGGUACCCAUGAAGGAAGCACG
rnacentral:rRNA from 1 species